rnacentral:rRNA from 1 species
AUACGGAGGAUCCAAGCGUUAUCCGGAAUCAUUGGGUUUAAAGGGUCCGUAGGCGGGUUUAUAAGUCAGUGGUGAAAGUUUGCGGCUCAACCGUAAAAUUGCCAUUGAUACUGUAGAUCUUGAAUUAGUGUGAAGUGAUUAGAAUAAGUAGUGUAGCGGUGAAAUGCAUAGAUAUUACUUAGAAUACCAAUUGCGAAGGCAGGUCACUAACACUAUAUUGACGCUGAGGGACGAAAGCGUGGGGAGCGAACAGGAUUAGAUACCCUAGUAGUCC